CUGGAGAAGAAGGUCAAGAUGUUGGACUACAGGAACCCUCUGUGUGAGAACUGAACGUCAUGAAAGCCGAAGACACUAACCAAAGGUGCUCUUGAAAGAUUAUGAACCUUCAAGAUGGAGGACAGACACAGAGAAGCAAGAGGGUCCUAUUAGAGCUCUCUUUCUUGAGAACACUGACAAAUCUAGGAUCUUCUCCAGAUUUCUGAUAAUCAUCCAGCGGUAUUAAACCCAAUGUCCUGAGUCCUCACAGCCUCACACUGGAAGUUUAAGUGUAAACAAACAAGAACAGUAAUGAAUUCUAGAUGGUUCCUGGCCAGCCUGCUGUGCAGAGGCGACGUCAUUUGCUUUGGUCGAUUCCUGAUGCGUUGAAUAGCUGCCCAGAAUUGAGAUCCAGUUGCCAGAGGGGAUGAAGAAUUAAAUCUCAGCUUUCCAUGCCUCCACUGCAAGAUAAGGCACUUGCCAUCUUCAGCUAGACUCUUCCAUCUGCUAUCAGUUAGUUUUGCAUCCCACGAUUCUCUACGUCUCAUCUCGUGCAUCCCUCUGAGGACCAAAGACUCUAUACCCAGAGAGGCCUUAGAAAUAUCCUCAGACUUCCUGUCAAGAUAAUUUCAUUUUUAUGAAGAAAUAUGGUCAAAGCACAAGUAUCUUCUGUACUUAUCCUAAAACUCCUGAAAAAAUAUAUAUGUAGCUAUCUAU